AUACCGGGGAGACGAGCGUUAUUCUUUGUGACUGGGUGUAAAAGGUACGUAGAUGGGUAAAGCAAACUGAUUAAGAAAUUCUAGGUUUAAAACUUUGAUAUUUAAUCUGUUUUGUUUAUCUUGAGUUUUGUUGAAGUAUGGGGAAUUCUUAGUAAAGAGGUAAAAUUCAUAUACACUAGGACGAACACCAAAUGUGCAAACACCUUUCUAAAUAAAACUGACAUUGAGGUACGAAGGCAUGGGGAUCAAAUAGGAUUCGAUACCCUAGUAGUCCAUGCAGACAACGAUGAGUAUUACCCGAUAUUAAAGUGAUAUUAAAUAUAUUUAUGGCGGGAACAGCUAACGCGUUAAAUACUCUACCUGUGAACUACGACCGCAAGGUUGA
rnacentral:rRNA from 1 species